GGUAGCGUGGCCGAGCGGUCUAAGGCGCUGGUUUUAGGCACCAGUCAUUUCGAUGGCGUGCGUUCGAAUCCCACCGCUGCCA
rnacentral:tRNA from 1 species